AACGAACGCUGGCGGCAGGCCUAACACAUGCAAGUCGAGCGAAGCCUUCGGGCUUAGCGGCGGACGGGUGAGUAACGCGUGGGAACGUGCCCUUUGCUACGGAAUAGCCCCGGGAAACUGGGAGUAAUACCGUAUGUGCCCUUAGGGGGAAAGAUUUAUCGGCAAAGGAUCGGCCCGCGUUGGAUUAGGUAGUUGGUGGGGUAAUGGCCUACCAAGCCGACGAUCCAUAGCUGGUUUGAGAGGAUGAUCAGCCACACUGGGACUGAGACACGGCCCAGACUCCUACGGGAGGCAGCAGUGGGGAAUCUUAGACAAUGGGCGCAAGCCUGAUCUAGCCAUGCCGCGUGAUCGAUGAAGGCCUUAGGGUUGUAAAGAUCUUUCAGGUGGGAAGAUAAUGACUGUACCACCAGAAGAAGCCCCGGCUAACUCCGUGCCAGCAGCCGCCGUAAAAC
rnacentral:rRNA from 1 species